UACGUAGGGGGCAAGCGUUGUCCGGAAUUAUUGGGCGUAAAGAGCUCGUAGGCGGUUGGGUAAGUCGGGUGUGAAAACUCAGGGCUCAACUCUGAGACGCCACUCGAUACUGCCCUGACUCGAGUCCGGUAGGGGAGCGUGGAAUUCCCGGUGUAGCGGUGAAAUGCGCAGAUAUCGGGAGGAACACCAGUGGCGAAGGCGGCGCUCUGGGCCGGAACUGACGCUGAGGAGCGAAAGCGUGGGUAGCAAACAGG
rnacentral:rRNA from 1 species